UACGUAGGGGGCGAGCGUUGUCCGGAUUUAUUGGGCGUAAAAGGCUUGUAGGUGGCCACGUCAAGUCGGAUGUGAAAUCUCCCGGCUCAACUGGGAGGGGUCAUUCGAUACUGGCGGGCUCGAGGCCGGUAGGGGGAAGCGGAAUUCCCGGUGUAGUGGUGGAAUGCGUAGAUAUCGGGAGGAACACCUGUGGCGAAAGCGGCUCACUGGACCAUAACUGACGCUGAUGCACGAAAGCUAGGGGAGCAAACAGG
rnacentral:rRNA from 1 species